AACGAACGCUGGCGGCGUGCUUAACACAUGCAAGUCGAACGCGAACGGUUUCUUCGGAAACCUAGUAGAGUGGCGCACGGGUGAGUAACGCGUAAAUAAUCUACCCUGAUGUCUGGGAUAACCAGCCGAAAGGCUGACUAAUACCGGCUAUAUGCUACCCUGUUGGGGGUAUCAGGAAAGGUGGCCUCUUCUUGAAAGCUAUCGCAUUGGGAUGAGUUUGCGUACCAUUAGCUAGUUGGUGGGGUAAUGGCCUACCAAGGCAUCGAUGGUUAGCGGGUCUGAGAGGAUGAUCCGUCACACUGGCACUGGAACACGGGCCAGACUCCUACGGGAGGCAGCAGUGAGGAAUAUUGCGCAAUGGGGGCAACCCUGACGCAGCGACGCCGCGUGAGUGAGGAAGGCCUUCGGGUCGUAAAGCUCUGUCAGUAGGGAAGAAAUGCAUAUUGGUUAAUACCCCUUAUGUUUGACGGUACCUACAAAGGAAGCACCGGCUAACUCCGUGCCAGCAGCCGCGGUAAUACGGAGGGUGCAAGCGUUGUUCGGAAUCACUGGGCGUAAAGGGAGCGCAGGCGGUUUGUCAAGUCAGAUGUGAAAGCCCACGGCUCAACCGUGGAAGUGCAUUUGAAACUGGCAGACUUGAGUAUCAGAGGGGAAAGUGGAAUUCCCGGUGUAGAGGUGAAAUUCGUAGAUAUCGGGAGGAAUACCGGCGGCGAAAGCGGCUUCCUGGCGCGUUACUGACGCUGAGGCUCGAAAGCGUGGGGAGCGAACGGGAUUAGAUCCCCCGGUAGUCCACGCCGUAAACGUUGUGCGCUAGAUGUAGGAGGUAUUGAUCCUUCUGUGCCGCAGCUAACGCAUUAAGUGCCCCGCCUGGGGAGUACGGUCGCAAGAUUAAAACUCAAAGGGAAUUGACGGGGGCCCGCACAAGCGGUGGAGUAUGUGGUUUAAUUCGAUGCAACGCGAAGAACCUUACCUGGUCUUGACAUCCCGAGAAUCUCCUGGAAACAGGAGAGUGCUUUCAUUAGAGAGAACUUGGUGACAGGUGCUGCAUGGCUGUCGUCAGCUCGUGUCGUGAGAUGUUGGAUUAAGUCCCGCAACGAGCGCAACCCUCGCCUUUAGUUGCCAUCAGGUUAUGCUGGGCACUCUAGAGGGACUGCCGGUGUUAAACCGGAGGAAGGUGGGGAUGACGUCAAGUCCUCAUGGCCUUUAUGACCAGGGCUACACACGUACUACAAUGGCAUGUACAAAGGGCAGCGAGCACGCAAGUGUCAGCGAAUCCCAUAAAGCAUGUCCCAGUCCGGAUAAGAGUCUGCAACUCGACUCUUUGAAGUUGGAAUCGCUAGUAAUCGUGGAUCAGCAUGCCACGGUGAAUACGUUCCCGGGCCUUGUACACACCGCCCGUCACACCACGGGAGUUGGUUGUUCCAGAAGCAGUUGAGCUAACCUUCGGGAGGCAGGCUGCCAAGGAAUGGCUGGUAACUGGGGUG
rnacentral:rRNA from 1 species